rnacentral:rRNA from 1 species
CGUGGAUAANACAUGCAAGUCGAACGGGACAUUAUUUGCAGCAAUGUAAAUGGUGUUCAGUGGCGUAAGGGUGCGUAACACGUGGGGAAUCUGCCGAGAAGUGGGGGAUAGCUCGCCGAAAGGCGAAUUAAUACCGCAUGUGGCCAGGGAAGACAUCUUUCCAAAGCCAAAGCCGGGGCAACCUGGCGCUUCUUGAUGACCCCGCGGCCUAUCAGCUAGUUGGUGAGGUAACGGCUCACCAAGGCUAUGACGGGUAGCUGGUCUGAGAGGACGACCAGCCACACUGGAACUGAGACACGGUCCAGACACCUACGGGUGGCAGCAGUCGAGAAUUUUUCUCAAUGGGGGAAACCCUGAAGGAGCGACGCCGCGUGGAGGAUGAAGGUCUUCGGAUUGUAAACUCCUGUCAUUAGGGAACAAUGGCGCGUGAUUAACUGUCGCGUGUUUGAUAGUACCUGAAGANGAAGANACGGCUAACUCUGUGCCAGCAGCCGCGGUAAUACAGA